GACCCAGUGGUGCAUGGAUCAUACCUGCUGUCCUUAUGUCAUUGUUCAAACAGUAAGGCAGGAGUCCCCGGUUCGAUUCCGGGCUGGGUCA